rnacentral:tRNA from 1 species
GGGUCUAUAGCAUAAUUGGUUAAUGCCCCCGACUCAUAAUCGGUAGAUUCCUGGUUCAAGUCCAGGUGGACCCACCA